rnacentral:lncRNA from 1 species
GGACAUUUGGAGGAGACAAUAAAUUAAAGACUCUUAAAUUAGACAUUUUAAAUUUUUAGUUAUAUUGUAAUUUAAUUGUUUAAACUUUUUGGACAAGCUUGUGCACAUUGGGCCAAUUUUUGACAAAAAACAUGAUGGGCCCAAAUAGUUGUAGGACACUUGACAAUUUUAGGGUUUUUGGGUGGACCCCACCCAACCUUAAAAGAGGACACAUGGCCCUAGGGAUUCACACAUUCCCAACCAGCCGUCACUCUCAUAUUUACAUUCUCGGAAGAAUAUAUUUUGGGGGGGCCUGCAACGUUUUCUGAAGGAAUUUGC